CAGGAAUGUAGGGUCCGUGAGAGCAGGAGCCCUUUUUGUCUUACUCCCUAUUGUCGUCCCAGAGCCUAGGAUGUUGCCUAGCAUAUAAACACAGAUCUCUCUUGGACACUGGUGAUCAAAGCAUCUAUCUAUCAUGAUAUUCAGAACUCCCCUCCAGUAUUAACUAAGGAUGUUAGAUUUUGCAGCUUCUUUCAGAGCAGUUGCUAAGGGUACCACAUUGCUUAUCCUCAUCAUUGCAGAGCAAGACAAGACUGUAUCCAGAGGGCUGAUCUCAUUAUGAUGGAAAUCACAAUGAUGGAAAAAAUCUUCCAUCAUUUUUCAUAUCUCUUGCAACUCCCUGUCCCUUCCCCCCACCAGGUAGGCUCCUUCUUGGUCCACUCUGUCCACUGCUUAUACUUCCCUCCGCUUUUGGCAGUUGACCUUCCUUAAAGGCAUUGCAUCAUCAAAAUACUUUCCAUUAAGAGCUAGGUCUACUUAGAGCUGGGUUUGUUCAUAAUAAAAUGUCAGUUUUUGAACAAAGUACC